rnacentral:lncRNA from 1 species
UGGAAAAUAAAACGUGUCUUAAAUUAAUAAUUAAUAACAUAAACUCUACUAUUCUAAGAUAUUUUUGGGGGACAACCACAUCCAUUUGAUGGUGGUUGAGAAAUUAAACCAAGCAUCUUACGCACAACAGUACGAGCCGCCACUUUUACCUCUUCUUUCAUAUCCUCUAGACUACCCGCUUCCACUCGUGUCAGCAUGUUCUCCAUCCGUUGCUCCAUUGUACGAUCAAAAAGUUACUGAAAUUCGGGUUAUUCAAAAACUUAUUGGGUAAGAAUAUUUGGAGGAUUAGGAGCACUAGAUGAUGCACAAUUAGGGUCCAAUGAAUCUGCCAUAGGAGAACUUUUUGGGACCAAGACCAUAUAUUCUUUCCUUUUUUGCGCCUCCAACGAUUUCAAUUCAAAUUUUCAGUAGUUGCUCAUCUGAUAUAGU